UUUAUGGUAUAUCUCUUUAAAGUUUAAGCACUUUAAAAAUCUUAGAAAUGUUAUUUAAAUACUAUUUUCUUUACUGAGUUUAUGGAACUCACUUCUUUCCUUGUCCCUCCUCGGGCCAAAUCAGGAUGAUAGUGAUGAACCACUCGUUGAUUUACCCAUUAAAGCCUUUGAGGAAAUCAUUGAUCCAUAAAUCGUUACAAGUGCAUGUUUUAUUCCACACUCUGAUGAGUCCAUUUUGAAGACGCUUUUAUUUAUUAUAUCACCAAGUUUGGCCUAAAUAUUGUAAGAUUUAGAACUCAAAUUUUAUUUCGU
rnacentral:lncRNA from 1 species